rnacentral:rRNA from 1 species
UAGUUUGACUGGGGCGGUCUCCUCCUAAAGAGUAACGGAGGAGCACGAAGGUUGGCUAAUCCUGGUCGGACAUCAGGAGGUUAGUGCAAUGGCAUAAGCCAGCUUGACUGCGAGCGUGACGGCGCGAGCAGGUGCGAAAGCAGGUCAUAGUGAUCCGGUGGUUCUGAAUGGAAGGGCCAUCGCUCAACGGAUAAAAGGUACUCCGGGGAUAACAGGCUGAUACCGCCCAAGAGUUCAUAUCGACGGCGGUGUUUGGCACCUCGAUGUCGGCUCAUCACAUCCUGGGGCUGAAGUAGGUCCCAAGGGUAUGGCUGUUCGCCAUUUAAAGUGGUACGCGAGCUGGGUUUAGAACGUCGUGAGACAGUUCGGUCCCUAUCUGCCGUGGGCGCUGGAGAACUGAGGGGGGCUGCUCCUAGUACGAGAGGACCGGAGUGGACGCAUCACUGGUGUUCGGGUUGUCAUGCCAAUGGCACUGCCCGGUAGCUAAAUGCGGAAGAGAUAAGUGCUGAAAGCAUCUAAGCACGAAACUUGCCCCGAGAUGAGUUCUCCCUGAGACUUUAAGUCUCCUGAAGGAACGUUGAAGACGACGACGUUGAUAGGCCGGGUGUGUAAGCGCAGCGAUGCGUUGAGCUAACCGGUACUAAUGAACCGUGAGG